AUUCGUUAUAGGCCGAUCUUUAACCUGUAUAUUAUCUUAAAUCGUGGUUAUUACACAAAACAUGAAUAUUUUGAUUUAAAAAAAAAUUAUUUUACAUCUAUGACUUAUUAACUAAUUCCCGUCAAGUUGUCACAUAAGGUGAUUAUCAUGGUAAGAAAUUACAAAAGAAAAACUAGUUUUGGUACAACACCACAAGUUAUUUAUGAUAAAUCAGUCCAAGAAAUAAUUUAUGGUAAAAUGAGCCUCCGUGAUGCCGCUAAAAAAUAUAACAUAAAUGUCAUGACAUUACAACGUUACAACAAAAUAAUAACAGAUCCUAAUUUAAAACUACCUGCUACUAUUGGCUGGACAAAAAAAAACCGUAUUCUCGACAGAACAAGAAGUAGAAUUAUCGGCGUAUGUGAAACAGUUGUCUCGAAUAUAUUUUGGGCUUACUGGUUGUGAUCUAAGAAAUUUGGCU